GUGCUCGCUUCAGCAGCACAUAUACUAAAAUUGGAACGAUACAGAGAAGAUUAGCAUGGCCCCUGCACAAGGAUGACACACAAAUUCGUGAAGCGUUCCAUAUUUAA
rnacentral:snRNA from 3 species